rnacentral:rRNA from 1 species
AGAGUUUGAUCCUGGCUCAGGAUGAACGCUAGCGGCAGGCCUAAUACAUGCAAGUUGAACGGGAUUCAGUUAGAAGUAGCAAUAUGGAAGAUUGAUGAGAGUAGCGCACGGGUGCGUAACACGUAUGCAACCUACCUUUAACCGGGACAUAACCUCGAGAAAUUGAAGCUAAUAUCCCAUGUGAUUGAUUUAUGGUAUCAUAGAUUAAUUAAAAUUCAGAUGGUUAAAGAUGGGCAUGCGUCCCAUUAGCUAGUUGGUGAGGUAACGGCUCACCAAGGCCACGAUGGGUAGGGGUUCUGAGAGGAUGAUCCCCCACACUGGUACUGAGACACGGACCAGACUCCUACGGGAGGCAGCAGUAAGGAAUAUUGGUCAAUGGACGCAAGUCUGAACCAGCCAUGCCGCGUGCAGGAAGACGGCCCUAUGGGUUGUAAACUGCUUUUGUACGGGAAGAACUACAUUUACGUGUAAAUGUUUGACGGUACCGUAAGAAUAAGGAUCGGCUAACUCCGUGCCAGCAGCCGCGGUAAUACGGAGGAUCCGAGCGUUAUCCGGAUUUAUUGGGUUUAAAGGGUGCGCAGGCGGGUAUAUAAGUCAGAGGUGAAAUUCCACGGCUCAACUGUGGGACUGCCUUUGAUACUGCAUAUCUAGAGUAUAUUUGGAGUGGGCGGAAUGUAGCAUGUAGCGGUGAAAUGCUUAGAUAUGCUACAGAACACCGAUCGUGAAGACAGCUCACUAAACUAUAACUGACGCUCAGGCACGAAAGCGUGGGGAGCAAACAGGAUUAGAUACCCUGGUAGUCCACGCCGUAAACGAUGAUUACUCGCU